AUGGCCCUGAAUCAAAGCCAGUAGUUUGUUGUAGCUGCUGGUUUCAAACAGGAGCCUAAAGAGAAGUCUUUCGAGGGUCUGUUGGCCAUUUCAGAGCUUUAGAAAUGUGACAGUCAAUUCAUUAGAAAGAAAUAGUU
ensembl:snoRNA small nucleolar RNA SNORA2/SNORA34 family